rnacentral:lncRNA from 1 species
UGUAUAUAUAUAUGUAUUUUUUUUUUUGAGACAGAGUUUCACUCUUGUUGCCCAGGCUGGAGUACUGUGGUGCUAUCUCGGCUCACUGCAACCUCCACCUCCUGUGUUCAAGCGAUUCUCCCACCUCAGCCUCCUGAGUAGCUGGGAUUGCAGGCACCCGCCAUCUCACCCCGCUAAAUUUUGUAUUUUUAGUAGAGAUGGGGUUUCACCAUGUUGGCCAGGCUCGUCUCAAACUGCUGACCUCAGGUGAUCCUGCUGUCUUGGCCUCCCGAAGUGCUGGGAUUACAGGCAUAUAUUUUCAGUAGAGAUGGGGUAUCACCAUGUUGCUCAGCUGGUUCUCAAACUCCUGACGUCAAGUGAUCCUCCUGCCUCAGCCUCCCAAAGUGCUGGGAUUACAGGUGUGAGCCACCACACCUGAGCCUAAUUCUCUAUUUUAACCCCACAAUUUAGGUAUUACUAUUGUUGGUGCCUUAUGCAGUCAAUAUUAGUCUAGAUUCCCCUACUUAUUUUGCAUUUAUUAUGCUCAUCAUUGGUUCUUGCAUCAUGGACCUUCUUUUUGGGCUCAUUUUACUUCUUUCUGGAGCAGACCCUCUGAAGUUUUGAAGCCAGUCAUUAAACUAACUUUUUUAUAUGCAGUCUGUCUUUUGUUGUUCUGUAGUGUCUAGGUGUAAUUUUUUUAUUCAGUCUUUUUAGGAUUCAUCAGGAUUCUUGAAUCUGAAGAUUUUUGGCUUUCAACAGUUUUAGAAAUGUUUCCACUAUUAUGUCUUUGAAUAUUGCCUCAUUCCUGUAUUCUCUACUAAUUUCUUAUUAGAGGUAUGUUAAACAUUCUCCCCCUGUCCCCAAUAUUGAUUAAUUUUUCUUUUAUAUUUUUCAUCUCUUUAUUACUCUUUAUCCUAAACAAUUUCUUUAGAACUAGCUUCAAGUUUAUUAUUUCUUCAACCAUGCCUAAUCUUUCAUCUCUUUAUUGAGUUUCUAAAUUCAAUGAUAUAUUUUAAAUUUAUAGAUGCUCUACAUAUGAUGAAAUCUGCCUCUCCAUACUUAAAGUACUAUCUUUUUAUAUUUAAAUAUGUUCAAUGAAAUUAUAUUCUUUAUUUCUGUAUAUGUAGUCACGGUGAGUCUGAUAGGGUUGUUGGUGUUCUGCUGAGUGUCAGUCAUGUUAAUUUGUCUCCUCUUGUGUGUACAGGUUUUUGAGCUUAACUUGGUUUGUCAUCUGUAUAAAUUUUUGGAGACCAGACUUCAAGGUGUGUUCCUCUAGGAUUUGUACUUAUUUCUACCAGUCACUUGGAGGUGUUUUAAAUUCUCACCUUGGGGUUUUUCAUACCUAAGGGUUAUACAAAUUUUGCCUUGGUGUGCAGGGCCAGUUUGUGGAUAGAAACUCAUGGAGGAAAUUUUUUUCUCUUUCUUUUCCAGAGCCAAGGCAAAAUAGGCACAUUUUUUUUUGUUUGUUUUGCUAUCUCCGUCUCUGGGGGAUAUUUCCUGGUUCCACUGAGGGAGUUGCUGGUGGGUCUCAUCUGACCUCUCUCUUGCUAGGCUUUUCCUCCAGUGCCUCUGUUUGUAUAAAGACCAAUGAACUAAAAGACCCAGUCCAUCAGUGACCAGCAGAAACUCCGUGGUAGCUGUUAGCUCUUAGACUUGGCUGCUUCACUGGAUUCACGUUUUUCUUCAUUUUUAGCUUUGAGGAGAUUCUCAAAUGCCCAGCUGUGAAUUUAAGGAGAUUUAAAAAUUUUUUACCCAGAACUUUUAGGCAUCUGUCCUAGGAGUUUUUCUCAAAUUAUUCACUCCACUAAAUUACCUGAAACAGAAGUACUCCUCUGUUUUUUUUAAUUUUUUUUUGUUUUUUUAAUUUUUUUUUGAGACAGCCUCUCACUCUGUCACCCAGACUGCAGUGGUGCAAUCUUGCCUCACUGCAACCUCUGCCCCCAAGGCUCAAGCGAUCCUCCCAUCUCAUAUGAGUAGCUGGGAUCUCAGGCACGCACCAUCACACCUGGCUAUUGUUUUGUAUUUUUAGUAGAGACGGUGUCUCACUACAUUUCCCAGGCUAGUCUCAAACCCCCGAGCUCAAGUGAUCUACCCGCCUCGGCUUCCCAAUGUGCUGGGAUUACAGGCAUGAGCCACUGUGCUGGGCCUACUCCUC